rnacentral:pre_miRNA from 1 species
UCUUAUAGAUGAGCGAAAGAAGUGGUUUCUUGAGAUGGAAUCUACCACCAGUGAAGACACUGUGAA